rnacentral:rRNA from 1 species
AAUCACUAGUAAUCGUGGAUCAGCAUGCCACGGUGAAUACGUUCCCGGGCCUUGUACACACCGCCCGUCACACCAUGAGAGUUUGUAACACCCAAAGACGAUGGGGUAACCUUUUAGGAGCUAGUCGUCUAAGGUGGGACAGAUGAUUAGGGUGAAGUCGUAACAAGGUAGCCGUAGGAGAACCUGCGGCUGGAUCACCU